GAUCAACGCUGGCGGCGUGCCUAAUGCAUGCAAGUCGAGCGGGGUGGCCUUCGGGCCACUUACGCGGCGGACGGGUGCGGAACACGUGGGCAACCUGCCCCGAGGUGGGGGAUAGCCGGUGGCAACACCGGGUAAUUCCGCAUGAGGUCACUGGCCGGAGGGCCAGUGAGGAAAGGGUCUUUCGGGACUCGCCUUGGGAGGGGCCUGCGGCCGAUUAGCUAGACGGGGGGGUAACGGCCUACCGUGGCGAUGAUCGGUAGCUGGUCUGAGAGGACGGCCAGCCACACUGGGACUGAGACACGGCCCAGACUCCUACGGGAGGCAGCAGUGGGGAAUAUUGGACAAUGGGCGAAAGCCUGAUCCAGCAACGCCGCGUGAGGGACGACGGCCUUCGGGUUGUAAACCUCUUUUAGCAGGGAAGAAGCGCAAGUGACGGUACCUGCAGAAAAAGCACCGGCUAACUACGUGCCAGCCGCCGCUGUAAGAC
rnacentral:rRNA from 1 species